AAGCUACCAACAUAGACUGAAGCAAUCCAAGGAGCAAAACAAGCCCUUCCUUUGUUGCCUCUAUCAGCAUGGCUUCCCCCCAACUAAAGAAGCCUAUCCAAGAAUCCCUCCCAGUGGCAAACCGCCAGUAUGAUGAGCACACAACUACUCGAAAACACCGUGAAGCAGAUACCAAGCAAGUAGUGAUUGAGAAGAGCCGCAUAAAUCUAGCUGAGUUCUACUCAGAUGAACAGUUCACUGCCAUUGGGAAGACACAAGAGAUGGACAAGAAAGAGGUAAGGGAAGGCCUGUGCUCUGCGACAUAUGAUGGUAUUAACAUGGUACCAAUGAAGCCCGUGAAAUCUGAGCAUAAGAUUGGGAGGAGGAAGAAGAAAAAGGAGAAGAAGAAGAGCAAGAGAAAGAGCAAGAAGUGAGACUGAGGAUGAUAUUUCCAGCAAGAAGAAGGGAGGGAAGUGAAGACAAAACUGGUCAGAGCAUUAUAAUAUGAAGAAUAAAAUUCCCAUGCCACAGAACACUAUGAUAUGCCACCCCUCUUACCAAGGAUCGGCGUGCUAAGUAUCUUCACUACGUGCCAAAUAUGUCUAUGGUGUUCCCUUUUCAUACGGUAAAUUGGUGUGCAAGAAUCUGUAAUGUUUAAUCUAGAUAAGAGCUUGGUUGUGCACGCAUUCAUGUCUGCUUGGUUAACAGAUAAAGGUAGAUGUUUGAUAACAAAGUGACAAGCUAUAAAGAUGUUA